rnacentral:rRNA from 1 species
UUGCCCCAGUAACGGCGAGUGAAGCGGCAACAGCUCAAAUUUGAAAUCUGGCUUCGGCCCGAGUUGUAAUUUGCAGAGGAAGCUUUAGGCGCGGCACCAUCUGAGUCCCCUGGAACGGGGCGCCACAGAGGGUGAGAGCCCCGUAUAGAUGGACGCCUAGCCUGUGUAAAGCUCCUUCGACGAGUCGAGUAGUUUGGGAAUGCUGCUCUAAAUGGGAGGUAAAUUUCUUCUAAAGCUAAAUACCGGCCAGAGACCGAUAGCGCACAAGUAGAGUGAUCGAAAGAUGAAAAGCACUUUGAAAAGAGGGUUAAAUAGCACGUGAAAUUGUUGAAAGGGAAGCGCUUGUGACCAGACUUGCGCCGGGCGGAUCAUCCGGUGUUCUCACCGGUGCACUCCGCCCGGCUCAGGCCAGCAUCGGUUCUCGUGGGGGGACAAAGGUCCCGGGAACGUAGCUCCUCCGGGAGUGUUAUAGCCCGGGGCGUAAUGCCCUCGCGGGGACCGAGGACCGCGCUUCGGCAAGGAUGCUGGCGUAAUGGUCAUCAGCGACCCGUCUUGAAACACGGACCAAGGAGUCAAGGUUUUGCGCGAGUGUUUGGGUGUAAAACCCGCACGCGUAAUGAAAGUGAACGUAGGUGAGAGCUUCGGCGCAUCAUCGACCGAUCCUGAUGUUUUCGGAUGGAUUUGAGUAGGAGCGUUAAGCCUUGGACCCGAAAGAUGGUGAACUAUGCUUGGAUAGGGUGAAGCCAGAGGAAACUCUGGUGGAGGCUCGCAGCGGUUCUGACGUGCAAAUCGAUCGUCAAAUCUGAGCAU